rnacentral:rRNA from 1 species
UACGGGGGGUGCAAGCGUUGUUCGGAAUUACUGGGCGUAAAGCGCACGUAGGCGGAUUCGUAAGUCAAUUGUGAAAGCCCUGGGCUUAACCUAGGAAUUGCAGUUGAAACUGCGGACCUUGAAUACUUGAGAGGAUGACGGAAUUCCUGGUGUAGAAGUGAAAUUCGUAGAUAUCAGGAGGAACACCCGAGGCGAAGGCGGUUAUCUGGCAAGCUAUUGACGCUGAGGUGCGAAAGCGUGGGGAGCAAACAGG